AUUCACUACAAUUCUUGAAAUGCUUCUUCUCUUGCUUAUUUUAGUUGAAACUGUUUUAUACACUUGCAGUUGCAGUGGAGCUUAUUCAAGUCCAUUAUGUAUUGAAAGUGAGAGAGAUGCACUUCUUGAGUUCAAGCGAGGCCUCACUGACCCUUUGAACUUAUUGUCCUCCUGGGAUGCAGAAAUGUCUCAAGACUGCUGUGCGUGGAAGGGUGUUGCUUGCAGCAAUAAAACUGGCCAUGUCUUCAAGCUUGACCUUCGAAUCGAAUAUGGCUACUUGGGAGGUGAGAUCAAUCCUUCUUUACUUAAUUUGACGUACCUCAGUUAUUUGGAUCUAAGCCUGAACAAUUUCUUUGGCAUUGAAAUUCCAAGAUUUCUAGGUUCCCUAGAAAACUUGAAUUAUCUGAACCUUUCUUAUUCAGGCUUCAUGGGAAAGGUUCCCCAUCAUCUUGGAAACCUUUCCAACUUGCAAUCUCUUGAUCUCAGUACUUGGAAUCAAGAUUUGACAGUUGAGAAUCUCGACUUUGUGCAAUCUCUUUCAUCUUUGAAAUACUUAGAGUUGUCUGGAGUGAUCCUUUCUAACCCAGAAAAUUGGUUACACUCAAUAAACAUGCUUCCAGCUCUAGUAGAAUUACAUUUGUCCAGUUGUCACAUUCUCAAAAUUUCUCACUUCCUGCAUGUCAAUUUCACUUCUCUUGAGGUUCUCGAUCUUAGCUUUAACUACUUCAGCUCCCCCAUCCCACGGUGGCUGUUCAAUAUUAGCAAAAUUCAACGCCUUGAUCUAAGUUCAAAUGCUUUCCAAGGGUCCAUUCCACGUGAGAUGGGCAAUUAUAGUCUGGUUGUAGUCCUUGAUUUAUCUUAUAAUCAUCUAGAGGGUGAAGUUCCAGAAAAGUUGAGUAAUCUAUGCAAUUUGCAGGAUCUCAACUUGGCAAACAACCAUUUCAGUGGUGAGGUUUUUGGACCUUUAAUUGCCAGUCCAUCUAGAUGCAUUAAAAGUAGCUUAAAGAGCUUGAAUGUUGCAUUUAACAAAUUUAGAGGUAGCCUUCCAGAUCAAUUGGGACAAUUUCAGCAUUUAGAAAGCCUAGAUAUUUCUAAUAACUACCUCAACGGUCCAAUCACAGCAUCAAUCGGAAGACUUUCUAGUUUAAGAAAAUUGUUUCUCAAGGGUAAUUACCUGAACGGCAGUAUUCCUCAAA
rnacentral:misc_RNA from 1 species